AUGGUUGCAGUGUCUUCAUUUGAAGUGAAUGAAUGAGAAGAUUGACUUGUUCCUUGUAAUCCAGAAGAUUGAUUUGUCCCAUGUAAGCCAGGACUGUACAUAAAUUGCAUCUUUAAUAGCAGCAUUUUGAAUAGCAGCAUCUUCAGUUUAUCAGAUAUCCUCACACAAGAAAAAAGGUCACUUAUGGCAGUAGCUGUUACAGACCGCUGGAAG